GACGAACGCUGGCGGCGUGCUUAACACCUGCAAGUCGAACGGAAAGGCCCUGCUUUUGUGGGGUGCUCGAGUGGCGAACGAGUGAGUAACACGUGAGUAACCUGCCCUUGACUUUGGGAUAACUUCAGGAAACUGGGGCUAAUACCGGAUAGGAGCUCCUGCUGCAUGGUGGGGGUUGGAAAGUUUCGGCGGUUGGGGAUGGACUCGCGGCUUAUCAGCUUGUUGGGGGGGUAGUGGCUUACCAAGGCUUUGACGGGUAGCCGGCCUGAGAGGGUGACCGGCCACCUUGGUGCUGAGAUACGGCCCAGACUCCUACGGGAGGCAGCAGUGGGGAAUAUUGCACAAUGGGCCGACGCCCGAUGCAGCAACGCCGCGUGCGGGAUGACGGCCUUCGGGUUGUAAACCGCUUUCGCCUGUGACGAAGCGCGAGUGACGGUAAUGGGUAAAGAAGCACCGGCUAACUACGUG
rnacentral:rRNA from 1 species